ACUGCUUCUUGGCCUUUUGGCUAAGACUCAGCAUAGUACCCGUCCUUUCCAGUUUAAUAUACUAUGUCCUCUGUCCAAGAAUAACAUAUGCAAUGAGUUUCUGAAGCAGGGAGAUGGAAAAGGAGCUUGUUACAUCCAUGUCACACAUCAACCUGGAACUGGAGAACCUCAGGAACAAUGCACCCUUC
ensembl:snRNA U2 U2 spliceosomal RNA